rnacentral:rRNA from 1 species
UACGAAGGGGGCUAGCGUUGCUCGGAAUCACUGGGCGUAAAGGGUGCGUAGGCGGGUCUUUAAGUCAGGGGUGAAAUCCUGGAGCUCAACUCCAGAACUGCCUUUGAUACUGAGGAUCUUGAGUUCGGGAGAGGUGAGUGGAACUGCGAGUGUAGAGGUGAAAUUCGUAGAUAUUCGCAAGAACACCCAGUGGCGAAGGCGGCUCACUGGCCCGAUACUGACGCUGAGGCACGAAAGCGUGGGGAGCAAACAGG